ACCCUCCACUUACCCCACCCACAGUUCUGCCUCGGACCCCGGCCAAUCCCCCAGAUCUCCCCCGGGACCCCCCACCCCGCAGCCCACCCACCCGAGCGCACAGCUCCUCACCUGAGGGGCCCAGUCGCGUCGGGCCUCCCGAGGGGGCUGCGAGUGUCAGUCGGCUCUCCGCACGUGUCCGCGGCCUCGCGGAGCAGUCCACCCCUGGCUGGUUUCUGCUUCCACCUGCUGAUCUCACAGAGCACUGCAAGCUAUUUGGCAUAUGAAGGUCUUGACCUGAGAAAACCAUCUUGGAUAACUGCAGCAAGGAAAAGGAAAAAUGCAACACCUAGGAGAUUUCAGUAAACAGUAGAAUCAUGCCAACCUAAUCUGUGUUAAAAUGCUUGGAAUGUGGGAGCCGCUGAUGAUGCCUCUUGUCUGUGUGUCUGACUGAAUCCUUUCUUUUCUCAGAGCAGCAAAGCAAAGCCUGGGAACCAGGCCAAAUGCCUGCCACUUACCUUAAAUUGAUCAGCCACUUUGAGAUUAAAACCCCUGAAAGCUGCCACACCGUGAAAACAAGGCCUCCUUCACAUUAAAGGCAAAUUGCGACUUUG
rnacentral:lncRNA from 1 species